AACCGGAGAUGGCGACCGGCGCACGGGUGAGUAACACGUAUCCAACCUGCCGAUAACUCGGGGAUAGCCUUUCGAAAGAAAGAUUAAUACCCGAUGGCAUAAUAGAACCGCAUGGUUUGAUUAUUAAAGAAUUUCGGUUAUCGAUGGGAUGCGUUCCAUUAGGCAGUUGGUGGGGUAACGGCCCACCAAACCUUCGAUGGAUAGGGGUUCUGAGAGGAAGGUCCCCCACAUUGGAACUGAGACACGGUCCAAACUCCUACGGGAGGCAGCAUG
rnacentral:rRNA from 1 species